GGGAGUAUAGCCCAGUGGUAGGGCGCUUGCUUAGAUAGAUGCAUGAGGUCCUGGGUUCAAUCCCCAGUUCCUCCA
rnacentral:tRNA from 1 species